rnacentral:snRNA from 11 species
UUGUUUGCCUGGUAGGGGAGACACCAUGGUCAUGGAAGGUGGGUUUUCUAGGGUGAAGCCAAUCCUUCACACUCCAGAUGUGCUGAUCCCUGUAAUAUCCCAGGAACCUCAGCUGCUUAAUUUUUGGUAGGAGGAAACUGUCUCCACCUUUCCCUG